UGAAUACCAAACUAAUCCAGGCGCUGCUGUGAGGGCAUCCAAUCACUCUUUCAGGUGCAUUCGGGGCCCUCUUUUGCAUUCUUCUUAGCCUAAAUCAAAAUCCAGUCCAAUUUAGAAUUUUUUGAGCAAAAAUCUAUCUGAAUAAAUAUCAGUACAUUUUUCUUAUUAGAAUUUUAAGUGCACUGCAGCAGAGCUGUGAGAUACUAUAGAAACAUAAUUAGAAACAGGAACAAUGAAUGCUAGCCCUAAGAACAGAGGUACUAAAACUUUUGCACAUCCAUAAAAAUAAAUUUCUGAAUAAUUAGAGCUUUACCAGUUGCCACAUCCCUAUAUAAAUGAUCAGUACAUCGACCUGAUCUUAUAAUAUUGGCUUCAAAUCUAUUAGCAGUCCUAAAUAUUAUUAUAGCCAAAAGAAUGAUACAGUUCAUGAAACUAAUAAUUGUUGAUACAUCUGCAAAAGAGGCCCAUUAAUUCCAUCAUCUUUGUACAGCUAUUCACAAGAGAUUAUUCGGUUUCAUAGAGUUUGAUAUUUGCUCCUACUCUUAUGUAUUUAAUAGGUGAGAUGUGGAUAAGUGUUUGUUGAUUGUCUUAAUUCUUAUGCUUCAUAACCUGUGGUGAUUAUUUCUUAUGUGUCUGCAAUACUUUGUCUUUCACUGAAAAUUUAAGUCUGUAUUCUCUGUCAAGAUUUCAGCUAUAAGUUUCUUGGAAGCUUAUGAAUCUCAUAUAAAUCUCAUUAUCCAUUUAUACAUCUGUUGAAAUCUAGAACUAGGUUCUUCUUGUGUUAUUUUUCUUACAAGAAUGUUCAGAGGUUCACUUCCUUUUCAUGACUCAGGAGACUAGCGAGAUUUCAGAGCCACCAGUCAUACCUUUGUUGUUAUGGUGGUUAUAUGAUGCAUAAUUUCUUUAUUUGCAUCAAUUAAGAUCACCCUUUAAUGCACACUUUACUUUUAUCUAAACCCACUGCAAUCUUAUUUGAUACAUGAAUGUGAGAUGUUUAUGCAGUUGUUAUUUCUUAUUUACUAAUGCUCCUCUUGACUGAAAUUUAGACCAGAUUACUUGGCAGACUGUAGUUGGCAUGCUCCUGGUGAGACCCUGCCGUCAUGUAAGCCAGCGUACAAGCGUAGGACUCAUGGUGCCAAGGUCCACAACAUGAGGCUCCAAAUUUUCUUCAUAUUUUAUUUAUGCUAUUAUUGAUAUUUAUUAAGAAGCUGCGAUGCAUGUCCAUCCAGACAAUUUAUUUCAAUUCAUUUUGCCAUUUGAUUAAGUGUCAUCCUCUAUUUGUCCAAACUGCAAGAAAGGGAGCUGAUUUAGUGAACCUUGGAGGAUACUGGAGACCACAACUAUGGGACCUCAGCCUUGCUAUAAUCGGGAUGUGAACAUUUGGCUCUUUUUAGUUGUGGUACUUUCAGUUCGGUUCUCGGUAAUUUGUGCCCAAAGUGACAUUUGAAGCUGACAGUGGUUUCUUCAGCCUCGCACAAGCAUUUUGUUUGGUGGUCCAAGCAAGUUAAGCUGAGCACUAGACCAAUUUGGCCUCUCUUGAGCUGUGAGUAUAUAAUCUCAUGAUGAUCACUGCUACGGUUUGAUGUAUCCGAAGUUAUACGUUGCAUAAAGAGUAGGUAUAUAGAAAUGGCUUGAGCUUUUGUAAUUAACUUAAUCGCAUAAUGUAAUAAUCAAGACAAUUUUAUUUGAGUCUAUUAAUUGUAUGUCUUGUUCUCAUCUUUAGCUCUCGUAGCAACGCACGGGCACUCACCUAGUACUACUAAAAACUUAUUUUCCGUUCCUCUCGCUCCACAUUCAAAGGUGGACCAAAAGCAAGAAGAAUAUGUAAGCUAAG
rnacentral:lncRNA from 1 species